rnacentral:rRNA from 1 species
AGUUCGGACUGCAGGCUGAAACUCGCCUGCACGAAGUUGGAAUUGCUAGUAAUCGCGGAUCAGCAUGCCGCGGUGAAUACGUUCCCGGGUCUUGUACACACCGCCCGUCACACCAUGGGAGCCGGGAAUGCCCGAAGUCGGUGACCCAACCGUAAGGAGGGAGCCGCCGAAGGCAGGCCUGGUAACUGGGGUGAAGUCGUAACAAGGUAAC